CUGGCCCUCGGGCUGGCGGGGUGCCGCCGGCUGGGGGCGCUGGCCAGGGCCCGGGCCCGGUCGGCCGGCUCCGUGGUCGGCGAGCCGGACC
rnacentral:tRNA from 1 species